AUACGGAGGGUGCAAGCGUUGUUCGGAAUCACUGGGCGUAAAGGGCGCGCAGGCGGUUUGGUAAGUCAGAUGUGAAAGCCCACGGCUCAACCGUGGAAGUGCAUUUGAAACUGCCAGACUUGAGUACCAGAGGGGAAAGUGGAGUUCCCGGUGUAGAGGUGAAACUCGUAGACAUCGGGAGGAAUACCGGUGGCGAAGGCGACUUUCUGGCUGGAUACUGACGCUGAGGCGCGAAAGCGUGGGGAGCAAACAGGAUUAGAAACCCCAGUAGUCC
rnacentral:rRNA from 1 species